rnacentral:lncRNA from 1 species
UGCAAAGAUACCACUGGACAGUACUGCCUCAGGGCAUGAAAAACAGCCCGAUGAUUUUUCAAACAGUGGUAGCCAACAUCAUACAUCCUGUUCAAAAACUCCACCCUUCAGCCAUCAUCUGUCAUUAUAUAGAUGACAUCCUGAUAGCAGCAAAACACGGGACCGAACUACAAUCCACCUUGACUGCCUUAACUGACGCCAUCCAAAAAGCAGGUCUGCAGCUUGCCCCAGAAAAAAUUCAACGCACCCAACCUUGGACCUACCUCGGACGGAGGAUCACUCAACAGGAAAUCAUGCCACAACCACUGACUUUCAAAGUAACGGACACUAUGACCCUGAAUGAUUUGCAACAGCUUUUAGGAGCCAUUAACUGGCUGAGGCCUGUCUUGGGGAUCACAACAGAGGAAUUGCACCCCCUCUUCGAGCUACUUAAAGGUGACCCAACUCUCACAUCCAUUCGAUCCCUAACCCCAGAAGCAAAACAAGCUCUGGAAGUAUGCUCCCAAGCCGUCAAAAACAGGCAAAGCAGACGACGACACCCUGACCUGCACAUUCGCCUCACCAUCAUAUCCAGCAAGUUCCAACUUUUGCUGUCCUUUUCCAAUGGGAUCAGGCAGAAUCCGACCCUUUGAGAAUUCUAGAAUGGUUAUUUCUUCCCCACUCUCCACCUAAGACUGUUUGGACCAUUAAUGACAUGCUUGCUAAGCUCGUCAUGAAAGGUAGGGGACGUCUGCAGGAGAUGGAUGGAAGGGAUCCUGAGACGAUCUACAUUCCAGCCACAAAAGACAACUUAGACUGGCUUCUUGCAGAGGACGCUGGGUUUCAGACUACAUUAGCGGACUUCCACGGUAAUAUUUCCAUUCACUUCCCGAAACAUAAACUCUGGGCGGAAAUAGGAAAUCUACCCCUGAUGGCCACGCAUCGCUGCAAACUACGACCAGUAAAUGGAAUCACAGUCUUCACUGAUGCGUCUGGACAAUCCAAAAAAGCCGCCGUGACAUGGAAGAACCCUGCCACAGGACAAUGGGACAAUAAGGUACAAACCUUGGACCAAGGUUCUGUACAGGUUUUAGAACUAGCAGCUAUCCGCAUGGCAUUUGAAUUGUUCCAUGCACCAGUUAUGAUCAAAGAUCUAAUAUCUGGGCAAUGGUCAGGACCAGUAGAUCUCGUAACAUGGGGAAGGGGAUAUACCUGUGUAUCCAAGGGUACCAAAUUGCAAUGGGUCCCUUCUAGAUGUGUCAGGUCUUAUAUUAGCCCUCCACCACAACAGGAACAACCACCAGAAGAAAUAAGUGAAGGAUUUGGAUUAGAAGAAACAUGACCAACAAUAGUAAAUACACCACAAAGUGAAAAAAAAAAAAAAGGGGGGGGGAAAGAGAUAUGGGUCCUAUGUGUGUAAAUCUACAUUAACAUUUAUUUAAAACAGGGAUAAUCACAAAGAAGCAAUAAAUGAUACAACAGAACCA